AGCGAACGUUAGCGGCGGGCCUAACACAUGCAAGUCGAGCGAGAAAGUGGCUUCGGCCAUCAGUAAAGCGGCGGACGGGUGAGUAACACGUAGGUAAUUUUCCUUCCAGCGGGGGACAACGUUCCGAAAGGGACGCUAAUACCGCGUACGUUUCUUGGGACUCCGGUCCUGAGAAGGAAAGCUAGGUAGCAAUAUCCGGCACUGGAUGAGAAGCCUGCGUCGCAUCAGCUAGUUGGUGGGGUAACGGCCUACCAAGGCGAAGACGCGUAG
rnacentral:rRNA from 1 species